GCUUUGCUGACGAGUGGCGGACGGGUGAGUAAUGUCUGGGAAACUGCCUGAUGGAGGGGGAUAACUACUGGAAACGGUGGCUAAUACCGCAUAACGUCGCAAGACCAAAGAGGGGGACCUUCGGGCCUCUUGCCAUCAGAUGUGCCCAGAUGGGAUUAGCUUGUUGGUGAGGUAACGGCUCACCAAGGCGACGAUCCCUAGCUGGUCUGAGAGGAUGACCAGCCACACUGGAACUGAGACACGGUCCAGACUCCUACGGGAGGCAGCAGUGGGGAAUAUUGCACAAUGGGCGCAAGCCUGAUGCAGCCAUGCCGCGUGUAUGAAGAAGGCCUUCGGGUUGUAAAGUACUU
rnacentral:rRNA from 1 species